ensembl:misc_RNA Metazoa_SRP Metazoan signal recognition particle RNA
GCCGGGCGUGGUGGUGCAUGCUUGUACUCCCAGCUACUCAGGAGGCUGAGGUGAGAGGAUCACUUGAGCCCGGGAGUUCAAGGCUGCAGUGAGCCCUGAUCGUGCCACUGCAUUCCAGCCUGGGAAACAGAGUGAGACCCUGUCUCAA